GGCGGCUGGCGAUGAAUAUUCUUGCUAGGUCUUUGAUCGACAGAUCAGUUUUUGCACCUAAGAUUUAGUGCCCUGGAUUUAAUCUUCUUUAUCUCCUUCGAUUGAUUAUUCCAACAACCCCAAAAAAUGGUUGGAGUUUGAAGGGGAUUUUGAUGGGUUGUAGGCUAUCGGGGGAAUCAAGUUUCUGUAUGUACAUAUCUGCAUCUUUUUACUUGCAGAAAAUGUUGUCAGAUGGUGCCAUGGCUGGCAGAGAAGGUCGAUUUGGAACUACGGGUUAACAAGCUAUUCUUGAUCGACUGUCUCAGUCAGUGCAGCGGGUAUGUACUUGAGGUGCAACAGGUAUGUACUCUAAUAAAUUAGUAUAACACCAUUGUUUGGAAGUAUUUCUUUGCAUCUGUUCUGCGGCGGAAGGAAGCUUAUCCGGUC